CUUGGCGGCAAUAGCGCCGUGGAACCACCUGAUCCCAUGCCGAACUCAGAAGUGAAACGCGGUAGCGCCGAUGGUAGUGUGGCAUUCGCCAUGCGAGAGUAGGACACUGCCAGGC
rnacentral:rRNA from 1 species